UAGAUUCCGGGCGCGGAGAGCGGAGGUUGCUGCUGGAAGAACCUGUCGAGCGAGAGAGAAACUGACGAUAAACAAACCUGGAUUCCAAGCAACCUCCCAGGCUUUUAACUCUUUCUGCACGGGGAGGUAGCAUGCGUAUCCUGAGGUGCGGUUCUGUCAGGCUGCUGCUAAUGAAAGGCGAGCAGCCACAACUCCCGACAAAUAACGCUCGUUGGUCAUUUCAGUCCAAACUUCAAAGCGGAGCCGUUCCAAACGUCCCAGAUGGUUUGGAAUCCAGCAGUUUGUAAAAUUCCCAAACCGGAAUUCAGGGAUUUGCAACUCUGGGUUGGACGCCACCAGGUUGAGAAGGCUGCUGUAAGAGAUCUAAAGCUACCUUCUUGUACACUUCUUUGGAAUGUAUAAUUUAUUUAUUUGAAUAAGUAAAACGUGAAGAGAUCUUGCUCUCAACUUUACAA